GACGAACGCUGGCGGCGUGCUUAACACAUGCAAGUCGAACGGAAAGGCCCUGCUUUUGUGGGGUGCUCGAGUGGCGAACGGGUGAGUAACACGUGAGUAACCUGCCCUUGACUUUGGGAUAACUUCAGGAAACUGGGGCUAAUACCGGAUAGGAGCUCCUGCUGCAUGGUGGGGGUUGGAAAGUUUCGGCGGUUGGGGAUGGACUCGCGGCUUAUCAGCUUGUUGGUGGGGUAGUGGCUUACCAAGGCUUUGACGGGUAGCCGGCCUGAGAGGGUGACCGGCCACAUUGGGACUGAGAUACGGCACAGACUCCUACGGGAGGCAGCAGUGGGGAAUAUUGCACAAUGGGCGGAAGCCUGAUGCAGCAACGCCGCGUGCGGGAUGACGGCCUUCGGGUUGUAAACCGCUUUCGCCUGUGACGAAGCGUGAGUGACGGUAAUGGGUAAAGAAGCACCGGCUAACGACG
rnacentral:rRNA from 1 species